AGGACGAACGCUGGCGGCGUGCUUAACACAUGCAAGUCGAGCGGAAAGGCCCUUCGGGGUACUCGAGCGGCGAACGGGUGAGUAACACGUGAGCAACCUGCCCUUAGCUCUGGGAUAGCUCCGGGAAAACCGGAUUAAUACCGGAUAUGACCUAGGCCGACAUCGGCCGUGGUGGAAAGUUUUUCGGCUAGGGAUGGACUCGCGGCCUAUCAGCUAGUUGGUGGGGUAAUGGCCUACCAAGGCGACGACGGGUAGCCGGCCUGAGAGGGCGACCGGCCACACUGGGACUGAGACACGGCCCAGACUCCUACGGGAGGCAGCAGUGGGAAUCUUGCGCAAUGGGCGAAAAGCCUGACGCAGCGACGCCGCGUGGGGAUGAAGGCCUUCGGGUUGUAAACCCUUCAGCAGGGACGAAGCGAAAGUGACGGUACCUGCAGAAGAAGCGCGGCUAACUACGUGCCAGCAGCCGC
rnacentral:rRNA from 1 species